ACUCAAAUGAAUAGACGGGGACUUGCACAAGCAGUGGAUCAUGUGGUUCAAUUCGUCGGUAAACGAAAAACCUUACCAGGGUUAGAAAUCUAGCUGAAGGCUAGCAGAAACGUUAGUCGUCUCACAAGGACAGCUAGACAGGUGCUGCAUGGCCGUCGUCAGUUCGUGGUUUGAAUUGUUCCCUUCAGUGGGGUAACGAACGCAACCCUCGUUGCCUGUUAUAUUAUGUCAGGCGAGACUGCCCAGCCUUCAAUUCGCAAAGUAAUUUGUGAAGUGGAGGCUGGGAGGAAGGCGAGGAUGACGCCAGGUCAGCAUGGCCCUUUGACAUCCUGGGCUACACACGUGAUACAAUCGCAUCUACAACGCGUCGUGACGGGGUAACCCUGAACUAAUCGUUAGAAAGGAUGCGCCAGUUCGGAUUGGGGUCUGCAACUCGACCCCAUGAAGCCGGAAUUGCUAGUAAUCGCAGGUCAGCAUACUGCGGUGAAUACGUUCUCAAGUCUUGUACACACCGCCCGU
rnacentral:rRNA from 1 species